CUUAAAUCCAGCAAUUCCUGGAUUGGUGGAUUUAAGUUCCUACAUGUUGCUGAAAAGUUCUUUAAGUUUGUUUAGUCUUAUUUCAAGACGUUUGUACUAGAAGCUAGAAGACGAUACUUGAGAUGUUUUUACAGUAAAACGUCUCUGGUUUCAUUUCAGAAAAUCAAAACAUUUCCAUACCAGAAUUUAAUCUGCACAAGAAAAACGCAAAAUCCUACAGUUUUUUUUUACUGGUUUAGUUUCUAGUAGUUUCUSACUACAGUGGAAUCAGGACAAAACUAACUCAGAAUGAAAAACGUUUCAACAUCAGAACCGACUCAACCGUUUUCAGAGUAAAUAAUGAAACGUCUCCUCACCGGCUGACCAUGUUGCUGCUGGAUCUCCUCCUGGACUCGCCGACUGCUYUCAGAAGAGACUCUGACCAGCUUUGUCUCGGCUCCUUUCAGAUGCCAGAAGUUCGUCUCCAUGUUGGAUUUUCUCUCGACCCAGAAACACGACCAGUCUCUCCUCCUAAUGAUGGGGGUCGCACCAGUAAAGUUGAAUUUUAAAACCCGCCGUCCUUUGUAGAUGAACAUGCAGAAACAAUUAGAGCUGAUUAGUUCCUGAUGGUUUUCAGCAAACGUUUGGGAAACUUUGGUUUUUUUACAUUUGAAGGAAGGAGAGUGAAUCUGGAAAACAUCUGAAGGCUUUAA